rnacentral:rRNA from 1 species
UACGAAGGGGACUAGCGUUGUUCGGAAUCACUGGGCGUAAAGCGCACGUAGGCGGAUGUGUCAGUCAGGGGUGAAAUCCCGGGGCUCAACCUCGGAACUGCCUUUGAUACAGCACGUCUCGAGUCCGGAAGAGGUGGGUGGAAUUCCUAGUGUAGAGGUGAAAUGCGCAGAUAUCAGGAAGAACACCCGUGGCGAAGGCGGCUCUCUAGUACGGUACUGACGCUGAGACGCGAAAGCGUGGGGAGCGAACAGG